GUCAUUUAAGGGUUGGCAGUGGAGGCAAGGGUGUUUUGCUGGGGGUCCUAGUAUACCUGAGGCUUUCUGAAGGCUAGUGAGCAGUUGAACUGCAAACUCUUGGCUUUGAAAAGUUUAAGAACUUAUCAAGAUAUUGGGAACUCAUCCUCUGUAAAGAAUCAGAAUGAAGAAUGAGAAGCCCAGAAGCUAAGUUUGGUAUCUAUGCAGAUGGAAGUUCAUCUCAUCCUCUAUCGUCAGCCCAAAUGAGAACAAGACAUGGUAAUGUUGAAGUGUGGGAUAAAAGCACAUUAUUUACCUUUCCCUGAGGAAUGUUCAUUAUGAUAAUUUUGGCUCACACUGGCUCAGUUACAGUUGGAAGUAUAAACAUUAACGUAAUUGCAAUCUAAUUAAACAACAUUAAAAUAUGA